rnacentral:rRNA from 1 species
GACUAACGCUGGCGGCGUGCCUAACACAUGCAAGUCGAACGGGGUAGCAAUACCCAGUGGCAGACGGGUGAGUAACACGUGGUCAACCUACCUCUGUGUGGGGGAUAACUAGCCGAAAGGUUAGCUAAUACCGCAUACGAUCGUUUUGGGGCAUCCCGAGACGAUGAAAGGAGCAAUUCGCACGGAGAGGGGACUGCGUC